GCUCACGCGUCGUCGGAGAAACGCUCUGAACAGUGACGUGUGUGUGUGUGUGUGUGUGUGUGUGUGUGUGUGUGUGUGUGUGUGUGUGUGUGUGUGUGUGUGUGUGUGUGUGUGUGUGUGUGUGUGUGUGUGUGUGUGUGUGUGUGUGUGUGUGUGUGUGUGUGUGUGUGUGUGUGUGUGUGUAUAUCGAGCUGGAGAGCAUGCUAGCUGAUGGCUAACACUUAAAUUAGCGCCCUUGGAACGGCGGAAUGAGUUUUCACGGUGCUUAUAGUACACGGUGCUUGUCGAGAGUGAGAAUAAAUCAACACCCGUUUGAAACUCUGCGUCUUGCUGAGUGAAUCCAAGGGGCCGCUACAGUGAAAACUCAACCCUACACCAGUCCUGCCAUCCCUGGUGAGAAGUCCAACUGCCAAACUGGUACCAGCCGUUUUACUUCGCUUGCAUUCAACUCCUGCAUCAAGGCAAGAUUUAAAAUGGACGGCAUGCUUAAGGUACAACUACAGGCAAAAGAGACUCUGGAUAGCAAGAAGCAAAGAAGCUGAAAAGGGACUAUUUACUCACGCCAGCUUACAGCAUAACUGAAGUGCCUUAUAUAAUAACAUGGUAUUGUGAGGUCAAAAUACUUGAGCUAAUUCCCAGUUCCUAACAGUUCUGAAAUUGGUGAAUAUUUCAAGGUACAUGUGUUUGUGGAAUAAUAAUAAUUGAUAACGUGUAUUUUGUAAAA